rnacentral:rRNA from 1 species
GACGAACGCUGGCGGCGUGCUUAACACAUGCAAGUCGAACGGAAAGGCCCUGCUUUUGUGGGGUGCUCGAGUGGCGAACGGGUGAGUAACACGUGAGUAACCUGCCCUUGACUUUGGGAUAACUUCAGGAAACUGGGGCUAAUACCGGAUAGGAGCUCCUGCUGCAUGGUGGGGGUUGGAAAGUUUCGGCGGUUGGGGAUGGACUCGCGGCUUAUCAGCUUGUUGGUGGGGUAGUGGCUUACCAAGGCUUUGACGGGUAGCCGGCCUGAGAGGGUGACCGGGCACAUUGGGACUGAGGUACGGCGCAGACGCCUACGGGCGGCAGCAGUGGGAAAUAUUGCACAAUGGGCGGAAGCGUGAUGCAGCAACGCCGCGUGCGGGAUGACGGCCUUCGGGUUGUAAACCGCUUUCGCAUGUGACGAAGCGUGAGUGACGGUAAUGGGUAAAGAAGCACCGGCUAACUACGUG